rnacentral:misc_RNA from 1 species
GGGUUGGCAAGGGAAGGAUCCAUCUACUGACUUUAGGGGUGGUGGAUUUAUAUCACUGGAGAACUUGUUAUACUUUGCGAGGAAUUUCCCGAGAUCUUUCCAGGAUCUUCUCCGAAAGCAGGAAGGUGAUAGAGCAAUUUGGGAAUACCCAUUUGCUGUUGCUGGUGUCAAUAUCACAUUUAUGCUUAUCCAGAUGCUUGAUCUAGAAGCUUUAAAACCCAGAAAUUUGGUGGGGGCUACUUUCUUGAAGUUUCUUGCAGAAAAUGAAUCAGCGUUUGAUCUGCUAUAUUGCAUCACAUUUAAGCUGAUGGACAACCAGUGGCUUGCCAUGCGCGCAUCAUAUAUGGACUUCAAUGCGGUCAUGAAGGCUACUCGUCGUCAACUAGAAGAGGAGCUACUGCAAGAAGACAUUACACGGCUAGAAGAUUUACCAUCAUACAACCUUCUUAGUCGAUAGUGUUUGUAGGCUUGACUUUUAAGAAAAUGAGAAUGGCUUCCGUAUGCAUGUUUUGUGGCAUUUGUUGGUGGUGGUGUUGCGUAGUAGCUUUGGAUGGUGGGUGUUACUUUGUAGAAGUCAGCGGAUAGGGAAAAUUGGGAUUAAUGUUAGAGCAAGUACAAUGUCAUUCCCCUGUUUCUUGAUUUUGGAAAAGGUCACACCUGAUGAUUGGUCUCAGUAGUGAUGGUAGGAAAUUCAAGAUUGCCUUCAGAAGACUACCUUUCUCUUUAAUUAACUCGUAAGGUGGUAACCAUCAAUAGUCUGUCUAUAAACAAGACUUUGUAAUACUUUAGACCAAGACGUGUCUGCAUAAACUGACUGAACCCUGAAAGAGAUUGUGAUUUGAGCGUGGCCUGUAUUCGUACAUCUUAUAUCUUGA